GCGCCGCGCCGCCUUCCCUACCUGCGCCGUGCAGCACCGCGAUCCCUACUCGCGCGGCGCCGCGCCGCCCCUCGCCGCCUUCCCUUCGUCCUACUCGUGCUGGGCGCCGCUACCGACGCCAAACCCUACGGAUUGACGACAAGUGUCAGAGAGACUAAAGCCUCAGGUCAUAGUGGUGCGCCAAUUCGAAUUCGGGAAAGAAAGGAACAUCAUAGGCCCCGUUUGUCGGAUUAUGUUUUAGCUUUCUCCUUGGAUAAGCUAAGCCUCAUCUAAACGGCCGGGUGGUUUAUGCGAAGCAAAGAGAAAAAGUAGCCAACCGAACAGGAGAGAAUUCCUUAUUUGACACUACCUUAAAAUGUGGUUCCUUAUUUGACCCUGAAGAACUUUUUUUUCCCUAUUUGACAUGUAGUCUAAAUUUUCUUCCUUACGUGACAUCGCCGUCCGUUUUGUUACACCGUUCCGUUAAAUUGUUUUUGGAUGGACCAAAAUACCCCCGUGUUAGUAGCUAGCCCACAAGAAGUUUUGACCAGAGUCGCUAGCCCACAAGCCCGAUCCCGAUCUGGCCAUCCUCUCGUCUCUCUGUUUCUUCGAUUCCCCACCCCCAACCCUAGCGGCGGCGGCAGCGGGUUGCAGGC